GUGCCUGACAAAUCAUGCAGCUAAAAGGACCCAGCUUAAAUGCUUGAGAAUCAUAUCCAAAGGGGCAUUUAGGUGACACAGUUGCAGAUGCUCCAGACUCUUGUUUAGCCUUGUUAUCCUGGCCAUAUCCAAAGGGGCAUUGAGGUGACACAACUGCAGAUUCUCCAGACGCUUCUUUAGGCUUGCUCCCCUGGCCAUAUCCAAAGGGGCAUUUAGGUGACACAAUUGCAGAUUCACCAGACCCUUGCUUAGGCUUGCUCUCCUGACUAUCCGGCUGUUUAUUUUGGUUUUCACUAGGCUUCUUAAUAGAAGUGUCAUCAGGUCUGGAAGCUCUAACAAAAGGGCAAACAGGUUUCAUAUUGAUGG
rnacentral:lncRNA from 1 species